GACCUGGUGGUGGAGUGGUUAUCAUACCUGCUGAAGUUAUGGCUGCAAUACUUACCUGAGUGGGGGAGUCCCUCGUUCGAUCCGGGGUCAGGUCA